CCUACGGGUGGCAGCAGUGGGGAAUAUUGGACAAUGGGGGGAACCCUGAUCCAGCCAUGCCGCGUGUGUGAAGAAGGCCCUCGGGUUGUAAAGCACUUUCAGUGAGGAAGAACGCCUGGUGGUUAAUACCCAUCAGGAAAGACAUCACUCACAGAAGAAGCACCGGCUAACUCCGUGCCAGCAGCCGCGGUAAUACGGAGGGUGCGAGCGUUAAUCGGAAUUACUGGGCGUAAAGCGCGCGUAGGUGGCUUGAUAAGCCGGUUGUGAAAGCCCCGGGCUCAACCUGGGAACGGCAUCCGGAACUGUCAAGCUAGAGUGCAGGAGAGGAAGGUAGAAUUCCCGGUGUAGCGGUGAAAUGCGUAGAGAUCGGGAGGAAUACCAGUGGCGAAGGCGGCCUUCUGGACUGACACUGACACUGAGGUGCGAAAGCGUGGGUAGCAAACAGGAUUAGAUACCCUUGUAGUG
rnacentral:rRNA from 1 species